GACGAACGCUGGCGGCGUGCCUAAUACAUGCAAGUAGAACGCACAGUUUAUACCGUAGCUUGCUACACCAUAGACUGUGAGUUGCGAACGGGCGAGUAACGCGUAGGUAACCUGCCUGGUAGCGGGGGAUAACUAUUGGAAACGAUAGCUAAUACCGCAUAAUAUUAAUUAUUGCAUGAUAAUUAAUUGAAAGGUGCAAUUGCACCACUACCAGAUGGACCUGCGUUGUAUUAGCUAGUAGGUGAGGUAACGGCUCACCUAGGCGACGAUACAUAGCCGACCUGAGAGGGUGAUCGGCCACACUGGGACUGAGACACGGCCCAGGCUCCUACGGGAGGCAGCAGUAGGGAAUCUUCGGCAAAGGACGGAAGUCUGAACGAGCAACGCCGCGGGAGGGAAGAAGGGUGUCGGGUCGGAAAGCUCUGUUGUAAGGGAAGAACGGGUGUGAGAGUGGAAAGUUCACACUGUGACGGUAUCUUACCAGAAAGGGACGGCUAACUACGUG
rnacentral:rRNA from 1 species